AUUGAACGUUGGCGGCAUGCUUUACACAUGCAAGUCGAACGGUAACAGGUUAAGCUGACGAGUGGCGAACGGGUGAGUAAUGCAUCGGAACGUGCCCGGUCGUGGGGGAUAACGCAGCGAAAGCUGCGCUAAUACCGCAUACGAUCUGAGGAUGAAAGCGGGGGACCGUAAGGCUUCGCGCGAUCGGAGCGGCCGAUGUCAGAUUAGGUAGUUGGGGGGGUAAAGGCUCACCAAGCCAACGAUCUGUAGCUGGUCUGAGAGGACGACCAGCCACACUGGGACUGAGACACGGCCCAGACUCCUACGGGAGGCAGCAGUGGGGAAUUUUGGACAAUGGGCGAAAGCCUGAUCCAGCAAUGCCGCGUGCAGGAAGAAGGCCUUCGGGUUGUAAACUGCUUUUGUACGGAGCGAAAAGGUCUCCUCUAAUACAGGGGGCUCAUGACGGUACCGUAAGAAUAAGCACCGGCUAACUACGUGCCAGCCGCCGCCGUAA
rnacentral:rRNA from 1 species